UAGCCCUUGCCGCCCAUAUUUUCCGUCGCCAGCGCCGAUUCCGGCCAAAUCCGGCCACAAUUCUUAUACUAAUCUCUUCCUUACCUCAUGGGCUUCCUAUCUACAUAAGUUUCAAGACCUAUCAUCAAGUGUGCGCGACGAAUCGAAUGAGGGAAGAUUGGGUGGUUUUCCGGCUAUUUUCCGAAUUCCGGCCAAACCAUUGAGAAUUUGGAGAAAUCCCAUGGUAAUCCGGUUGAGCAAGCUUCCGAGGACAUUCCCGAGAUGGGACUCACCUAGUCACCCUUCAUUGUUAGCGUUGCAAAGGUCGAAUCAAUAUCCACGUCAAAUGCAUGCAUCCACUUGAUCUUCUGACAUCAGUAGUAUAGUUUACUUAGUAGUAGUUCUUAUGUUAAUUAGAGGAGCUUUGAGAUGCCAUAAGUAAAUUGAGGUCUAUUGAAAUUGCAUGUAAAUAUUCGACGAGACACUUUGUUUUAUCUAUUCAUUGAUGGUUAGUGAAAGUUGAUUUUGU